rnacentral:tRNA from 1 species
GCUGGUUUGGCUCAGUGGACAGAGCGUUGGCCUGUAGACUAAAGGGUCCCAGGUUCGAUUCCAGCCAGUA